rnacentral:rRNA from 1 species
GACAGAGGUGCCGAGCGUUAGGCGGAAUCACUGGGCUUAAAGCGUGUGUAGGCGGGGCGUUAAGUGCCUUGUGAAAUCCCACAGCUCACCUGUGGAACUGCUUGGCAUACUGGCGAUCUUGAGCCACUUAGGGGCAACCGGAACAAACGGUGGAGCGGUGAAAUGCGUAGAUAUCGUUUGGAACGCCAAUGGCGAAGGCAGCUUGCUGGGCCGCACCUGACGCUGAGGUACGAAAUCGUGGGGAGCGAACAGG